rnacentral:tRNA from 1 species
AUCUCCAUCGUCUAGAGGCCUAGGACACAACCCUCUCAAGGUUGGAACACGGGUUCGACCCCCGUUGGAGAUA